UGGGAAUUCCUCAUUUCAAUGUCCUUCCC
rnacentral:piRNA from 1 species